rnacentral:rRNA from 1 species
CGCUGUCGGUUCGCCGCCCGUCGGUGUUAACUGGCAUGUCCUGUGGAACGUCCUGCCGGUGGCGGUCCGGGCGUUCGGCUUGCGUAAAGGCUCACGCCCGAAGCAGGUCGAGCAGUUCCGGCCGCCGGUCCAAUCCCGCCACGGUGCUCUUCACCGAGUGUCGAGGUGGGCCGGCACGUUUACUUUGAACAAAUUAGAGUGCUUAAAGCAGGCUGGUGUCCGCCUGAAUACUGUGUGCAUGGAAUAAUAGAAUAGGACCUCGGUUCUAUUUUGUUGGUUUUCGGAACCCGAGGUAAUGAUUAAUAGGGACAGGCGGGGGCAUUCGUAUUGCGACGUUAGAGGUGAAAUUCUUGGAUCGUCGCAAGACGAACCUAAGCGAAAGCAUUUGCCAAGUAUGUUCUCGUUAAUCAAGAACGAAAGUUAGAGGUUCGAAGGCGAUCAGAUACCGCCCUAGUUCUAACCAUAAACGAUGCCAGCCAGCGAUCCGCCGAAGUUCCUCCGAUGACUCGGCGGGCAGCUUCCGGGAAACCAAAGCUUUUGGGUUCCGGGGGAAGUAUGGUUGCAAAGCUGAAACUUAAAGGAAUUGACGGAAGGGCACCACCAGGAGUGGAGCCUGCGGCUUAAUUUGACUCAACACGGGAAACCUCACCAGGCCCGGACACCGGAAGGAUUGACAGAUUGAGAGCUCUUUCUUGAUUCGGUGGGUGGUGGUGCAUGGCCGUUCUUAGUUGGUGGAGCGAUUUGUCUGGUUAAUUCCGAUAACGAACGAGACUCUAGCCUGCUAACUAGGCGAUUUCCGGUACCCACAAUAGUGUUACCGGCGAUUCAAUUUCUUCUUAGAGGGACAGGCGGCUCCUAGCCGCACGAGACUGAGCAAUAACAGGUCUGUGAUGCCCUUAGAUGUCCUGGGCCGCACGCGCGCUACACUGAAGGAAUCAGCGUGUCUUCCCUGGCCGACAGGCCCGGGUAACCCGUUGAACCUCCUUCGUGCUAGGGAUUGGGGCUUGCAAUUGUUCCCCAUGAACGAGGAAUUCCCAGUAAGCGCGAGUCAUAAGCUCGCGUUGAUUACGUCCCUGCCCUUUGUACACACCGCCCGUCGCUACUACCGAUUGAAUGAUUUAGUGAGGUCUUCGGACUGGUGCGCGGCGAUCGGUUCUGCCGGCCGCCGAUGUUGCUGGAAAGAUGACCAAACUUGAUCAUUUAGAGGAAGUAAAAGU